GGUGCACAUGAUGGUUUAAGCGAUCAAAGUAUGAAAAAUUCAUGAUUCCAGCUUUAUUACUACUGAUGCACC